rnacentral:rRNA from 1 species
AUUGAACGCUGGCGGCAGGCCUAGCACAUGCAAGUCGAGCGGCAGCGGAAAGUAGCUUGCUACUUUGCCGGCGAGCGGCGGACGGGUGAGUAAUGUCUGGGAAACUGCCUGAUGGAGGGGGAUAACUUCUGGAAACGGUAGCUAAUACCGCAUAACGUCGCAAGACCAAAGAGGGGGACCUUCGGGCCUCUUGCCAUCAGAUGUGCCCAGAUGGGAUUAGCUAGUAGGUGGGGUAACGGCUCACCUAGGCGACGAUCCCUAGCUGGUCUGAGAGGAUGACCAGCCACACUGGAACUGAGACACGGUCCGGACUCCUACGGGAGGCAGCAGUGGGGAAUAUUGCACAAUGGGCGCAAGCCUGAUGCAGCCAUGCCGCGUGUAUGAAGAAGGCCUUCGGGUUGUAAAGUACUUUCAGCGGGGAGGAAGGUGUUGAGGUUAAUAACCUCAGCAAUUGACGUUACCCGCAGAAGAAGCACCGGCUAACUCCGUGCCAGCAGCCGCCGUAACAC